rnacentral:sRNA from 1 species
AGCGUGCUGUGUGGAUGCGGCGAAACGCUGAGGCGCGGCCUUCGCUGUCUGGUGGGGACUCACAAGACCGACGUCAAGAUGAUGCUUUCAAGGGCCAAACCUGCUGUAGGCAGAGGCGUACAGCACACUGACAAAAGAAAGAAGAAAGGUAGGAAGAUUCCAAAACUAGAGGAGCUACUUUCAAAAAGAGAUUUCACUGGAGCUAUUACCCUGUUGGAGUUCAAACGUCAUGUUGGGGAAGAAGAAGAGGAUACUAAUUUGUGGAUUGGAUAUUGUGCCUUUCACCUGGGUGACUACAAGAGAGCUCUGGAGGAAUACGAAAAUGCUACAAAAGAGGAAAAUUGUAAUUCUGAAGUCUGGGUGAACCUAGCUUGCACCUACUUCUUUCUUGGGAUGUAUAAACAAGCUGAAGCAGCUGGAUUUAAAGCUUCAAAAAGCCGACUGCAAAACCGCCUCCUCUUCCACUUGGCUCACAAGUUUAAUGAUGAGAAAAAAUUGAUGAGCUUUCAUCAAAAUCUUCAGGAUGUCACAGAAGAUCAACUCAGUUUGGCCUCAAUCCACUAUAUGCGAUCUCACUACCAAGAAGCUAUAGAUAUAUAUAAGCGAAUACUGCUAGAUAACAGGGAAUACCUUGCCCUUAAUGUUUAUGUGGCCCUCUGCUACUACAAGUUGGAUUACUAUGAUGUGUCUCAAGAAGUUUUGGCUGUUUACCUUCAGCAAAUUCCUGAUAGUACCAUCGCACUCAAUCUUAAAGCCUGUAACCAUUUUCGCCUUUACAAUGGCAGAGCAGCUGAGGCAGAACUCAAAAGCUUGAUGGACAAUGCUUCUUCAUCCUUUGAAUUUGCUAAAGAACUCAUCAGGCACAAUCUGGUUGUUUUCCGAGGAGGUGAAGGGGCUUUGCAGGUUUUACCUCCCCUAGUUGAUGUCAUUCCUGAAGCUAGGCUAAACUUGGUGAUUUACUACCUUCGUCAAGAUGAUGUACAAGAAGCUUAUAACUUAAUUAAGGACCUGGAACCUACUACUCCUCAGGAGUAUAUUCUCAAAGGAGUGGUCAAUGCAGCCCUUGGCCAGGAAAUGGGUUCCGUGAGUAUGAAAUCACUGAUAAUCUAUAGGUUGCAAAGUUAUAAGUGUAUGGAAGAGAACAAAAUGACUAUCAAAGUGCAAGCAGCAAUAGGCUCUCCUGUAGCUCCUUUUAUUUCUCCAUAUCCCCCAAUCCAGACUCCACUGAGAAAAGAAUGUUAUGUUAUUUAGAGACAAAAAA